UACGUAGGGAGCAAGCGUUGUCCGGAAUCAUUGGGCGUAAAGCGCACGUAGGCGGCCCUGUAAGUCCGCUGUGAAAGUCAAAGGCUCAACCUUUGAAAGCCGGUGGAUACUGCAGGGCUAGAGUCCGGAAGAGGCGAGUGGAACUCCUGGUGUAGCGGUGGAAUGCGCAGAUAUCAGGAAGAACACCCGUGGCUAAGGCGGCUCUCUAGUACGGUACUGACGCUGAGACGCGAAAGCGUGGGGAGAGAACAGG
rnacentral:rRNA from 1 species